rnacentral:rRNA from 1 species
UGAUAAGAUAUUAAACGGCCGCAGUACUUUGACUGUGCUAAGGUAGCGUAAUCAGUUGGCUUUUAAAUGGAGUCGAGAAUGAAUGGGUUUUCGGGGAUUAACUGUCUCUAUUAAAUUAAGUUUAAUUUACUUAAGGGGUGAAAAUUCCCCUUUGUAGAAAAAAGACGAGAAGACCCUAAGAGUUUUAACUAUACUUUACAUAUGUAUGAGAAGUUUUUGCUGGGGCGGCAAGGAGACAAGGAAUAUAUAACCCUCCUAUUAAGUUUUUAGAAGACGUAUAUAUAAAGAAACAAUAAACUACCUUAGGGAUAACAGCAUAAUUUAUUAUAAGUUUGUGACCUCGAUGUUGGACUAGGGACUUUACGGCUAGCAGUCGCAAGAGCAGGUUCUGUUCGAACCUUAUUACCCU